rnacentral:lncRNA from 1 species
UAGAGCAGAACUCAGAGGUUCCCUGACAGACAUCUAGUUAUUAUUAUAACAAAUAUCAAACAUGACCAAGUGCUCAAACAAAGUAUUGAUUGUCAGUUUAGCAAUAUAAUUAUAAAAGUGUUUCCUUGUUUUGGACAAGAAGUCUACUAAGAAAACCAAAAAGAAAAAGAAAAAAAAUGCUUACUUAAUUGCUUUUAUUGCUGGAAUUGUUAGCCCUGAAGAUUAACAAUACAUGUGCAGUCUAUGUAUUAAUAGUCGUCAGGGUAUUAACGGCGUAUUAACAGUGGUCAGAGUAAGGGAGUUUUAUUGAUUGAAAGCUAAAGGAGAGACAAUUGAGAUUUUUUCUUCUCUGGCAUGUACUUCUCUUUUCGGAGCUUCGAACUAUACAUACAUCAUUAACCGACUUCACUUCUUGGCUAAGGAUGAAGAGCACCUCUUCUCUCUAUCUUUAUGAACUUACAUAUCACACUCUUCACACACACCUUCAGACUUCACAUGCUCACUAACAAAAACAAACGAAUUUAAAUGCACACUAAGACAAAAUGCACUAAAAAAUAUGC